AGCGAACGCUGGCGGCAGGCUUAACACAUGCAAGUCGAGCGGGCAUCCUUGUGGUGUCAGCGGCAGACGGGUGAGUAACGCGUGGGAACGUGCCCUUCGGUUCGGAAUAACUCAGGGAAAUUUGAGCUAAUACCGGAUACGUGCGAGAGCAGAAAGGUUUAUCUGCCGAAGGAUCGGCCCGCGUCUGAUUAGCUAGUUGGUGAGGUUAUGGCUCACCAAGGCGACGAUCAGUAGCUGGUCUGAGAGGAUGAUCAGCCACACUGGGACUGAGACACGGCCCAGACUCCUACGGGAGGCAGCAGUGGGGAAUAUUGGACAAGGGGGGCAACCCUGAUCCAGCCAUGCCGCGGGAGUGAUGACGGCCUUAGGGUUGUAAAGCUCUUUUCUCCGGGACGAUAAUGACGGUACCGGAGGAAUAAGCCCCGGCUAACUUCGUG
rnacentral:rRNA from 1 species